rnacentral:rRNA from 1 species
CGCGAAUGGCUCAUUACAACAGCUAUAAUUUACUUGAAUUUGACAACCCUACUUGGAUACCGGUGGUAAUUCUAGCGCUAAUACAUGCACCAAAGCUCCGACCGCGAGGGAAGAGCGCAUUUAUUAGAACAAAACCACACGGCUUCGGCCGUCCAAUGUUGACUCAGAAUAACUAAGCUGAUCGCAUGGUCUUGCACCGGCGACGUUUCUUUCAAGUAUCUGCCUUAUCAACUUUCGAUGGUAGUGUAUCUGACUACCAUGGUGAUGACGGGUAACGGAGGAUAAGGGUUCGACUCCGGAGAAGGGGCCUGAGAAAUGGCCACUACGUCUAAGGAUGGCAGCAGGCGCGCAAAUUACCCACUCUCAGUACGAGGAGGUAGUGACGAGAAAUAACGAGACUGUUCUCUUAUGAGGCCAGUCAUCGGAAUGGGUACAAUUUAAACCCUUUAGCGAGUAUCUAUGAGAGGGCAAGUCUGGUGCCAGCAGCCGCGGUAAUUCCAGCU